CCUACUCAGUAUCAGCAGUGUAAUCAUCAUCAUACUUGUUUUCCACUUGUUCUUCCUCCUGUUUUUCUUCCUUAUGCUUCUCUUUAUCCAUUGUGUGGAAAUCAUCAAAAUGCUUGAGAAGCGAAACAAGACUUUUCUCCACACUAGCAACAGAUGCCUCCAUCUUUGUAAGCUUAUCAUUAGUGGCAAUCUGUGUGGCCUCCAACUGCCCUAGCUUUUCAUUCAUCACCUGCAAGUCGUUAUCAAGCCCCUCUGUGUGUAGCUUCACUUGCCUUUCAAAAUGUUGUAUGAUGCCCUUAGUGUGAGGUGACUGCAGAAUCUUGUUGACUUCCUCUAUUUCUAACAUGGUUUUUUUAAAUAAAAUAGUGGAAUCAAGAAAAUAUGUGAAGAAAUAGAAGCCCUACAGCUAUUAGGAUGUAGCUACAAUAAGGCUCUCACUCUCAACCUAUUAGACAAGUUCUUACCAAUUCUUACCUUGCUCAAUAGGAGGUGUCGGCUACCGACAAGUCUGCAGCAAUAGAACGAAGUGUAUCGGUGCUGUACCAACAAGACCUGUCAAGCUGUAGAAUAUUUGGAGCUAUAGAUGGGCUAAAAACAAGGAACAACUAGCACCAUGUAAAUUACAAAAGCAAGUUGAGAAAUCAUUCGACGGUGGUACCGUGCUGGUCCUAGGCUAGACCGUGCUAGAGACGCGAGCCUAGACACAAACGGAGUCACUGUACAGUUGGAAACAACACAAGAAUAGCAACAACAACCUAUUACUUCCAUUUUCUUUUUGUUUUCUCUUCUUUCUUUUCCUUUUCUUUUUCUUUUUGUUCUCUUUUUUUUCUUUUGUCUUCUUUCUUCUCUUUCUUCUUCUUUUCCUUUACCUUGCAAAACUAGGACAAAUCUGAAUCUUGACAAAUCAGAUUUCAAAUAGAAACAACUUACAAAGUAUUUUUGUUUCUUUUCAGCAAAUAAUGGUGGAUAUGGUGUAACAUAGAAAAAAUAUGGUAGUAAAAAUUGCAAUUUAGAUAAAUAUGGUAUAGUGGAUAUGUACUAUAUGGCGGUGGUGAUGACAGGGAGAUGAAAAUGAUGGAUAGGACCAAAACGUGACAAGAACUCAAAACUCUAAAAGACUAACCCUAAGACCAGCAACUUGACUCAACCGAAGUAAAUCAAACACAACAAGCCCUAACUAAGUAGUACUAGCCAAGGCUCAAAGUGUUUAUAGGACUGUGGGAAAACUAAUCUACUAUUGUUUUUGGCUUUUUAUUGGAACUAUGGGAAAAGUAAAACAGCAAAGAAUUGAAAGUCUCUCACCGAUAAACCUUGCUCUGAUUACCAACUGAUAAGAACCCGCUAGGGUUUUUAAUAAAUCUUUCGAUGAGAGGUGCUAGGUAACUCGAUUGGUGAAUGGAGUUGAUGUUCGCGGCUUGACUGCAGCCCUCCAAGGCCGCACCUUCGCAACCGAUACACCACCUCCAAUGGCUGUCACGAUCUUGCGAAGCACGACAACCGGCCACUAGGGCACUCAUCCUGCAAGCAAUCGAAGAACCAGCAAGAAUAAGUAGAACAAGUACUGAAUUACUAGAUGUAAACAAAGGUUUCAAUCUCUAUCUCCAAUGAAGUGGGGUUCCGAAAACAAGAAGACGGACGACUGGAUCAGCACGCGCGUUUACAAGCAAGUAGCGAAGACUAAACUUGAUCUAAUCAAAACCCAACUAUGUGCUGGUGGCUGUAGG
rnacentral:lncRNA from 1 species